GACUCUCGGCAACGGAUAUCUCGGCUCUCGCAUCGAUGAAGAACGUAGCGAAAUGCGAUACUUGGUGUGAAUUGCAGAAUCCCGCGAACCAUCGAGUCUUUGAACGCAAGUUGCGCCCGAGGCCGCUCGGCCGAGGGCACGCCUGCCUGGGCGUCA
rnacentral:rRNA from 1 species